UAGCAAAUGUGUCGCGGAAGGACGAUAAAGAAUAGCUUUCCUAGGAUUUCGUGGUAAAGUUGGAUCAGUGAAAUCUGCAGCCAGGUUUAUAUCUAUUAGUCCAGAAGCUCCAGAAUGAUCAGUUACAGUGCCAUUCUCGUAUGAUUCGACUGGAUGCUUUUGGUAGACUGAUUCAACUGGAUGCUUUUGGUAGAAAGACCCACUUGGCUCCCAUUCGAGACAUUGCAGCAUUCUAUAAGUGUCCAAAGUAAUUUCUGCAAAUUUAAUCUCAUUCCGGUGAUAGCCUGUCAGGAUUGCAUCUUGAAACUUUAGGAACUUCCUUGCAUGGUAACGGGCCACAUAUGGACGAGAAGUUGGAUGAGAAUCAAACAAGAAACAAUACCGCAAAGUCCUGACAUUUGCAAAGGCAGUAUUGACUUCCAUAAAGCGGACAAUUUCUUGCACCACUAGCUUCCACUCUUUGAAGUUUGUUUCCCGGAAAUUUGACUUGCUAUCAUCAACAAGAGCUCUAAACCUGUCGACAAGAAAUUGAACCAUCUCGGUCCGGUUCAAAAU
rnacentral:misc_RNA from 1 species